GAUGAACGCUGGCGGCGUGCUUAACACAUGCAAGUCUAACGAUGAAGCCCAGCUUGCUGGGUGGAUUAGUGGCGAACGGGUGAGUAACACGUGAGUAACCUGCCCUUAACUCUGGGAUAAGCCUGGGAAACUGGGUCUAAUACCGGAUAGGAGCGCCUACCGCAUGGUGGGUGUUGGAAAGAUUUAUCGGUUUUGGAUGGACUCGCGGCCUAUCAGCUUGUUGGUGAGGUAAUGGCUCACCAAGGCGACGACGGGUAGCCGGCCUGAGAGGGUGACCGGCCACACUGGGACUGAGACACGGCCCAGACUCCUACGGGAGGCAGCAGUGGGGAAUAUUGCACAAUGGGCGGAAGCCUGAUGCAGCGACGCCGCGUGAGGGAUGACGGCCUUCGGGUUGUAAACCUCUUUCAGUAGGGAAGAAGCGAAAGUGACGGUAACUGCAGAAGAAGCACCGGCUAACUACGUG
rnacentral:rRNA from 1 species